GGGGGGCAGAGAGAGGGAGACACAGAAUCGGAAACAGGCUCCAGGCUCCGAGCUGUCAGCACAGAGCCCGACGCGGGGCUCGAACUCAUGGACCGCGAGAUCGUGACCUGAGCCGAAGUUGGCAGCUCAACCGACUGAGCCACCCAGGUGCCCCGCGACCAUAUUUUUAAUAACUGCAUGAUAUUCUAUCAAGUUGUACGCAUUCUUGUGUAAUCGUUCAUCUGUUAUUAGAUUCUUAGGUUGCCUCUAAACUUGCACUAGACUAAAAAAUUCUGCAGCAAGCUGUUAUUCAUUGCAGAUUUAAUAAGUGCUCACUAUACACAAGGACCUUUGCCUGGCAUUAGGAGCAUAGAGUCCAGAGUGGCAGUCCCUGGCUUUGAGGGGCUGGCUCACAGUCUGGUGGCAGGGGAGAUGCAUACAGAUAACUGGCCUGUGGUAAACACCAUCACAGUCCCACUUACUGAGAAAGUGCAGAGGAGAGGACAAACUGUGAGACUGCCUGAAGAGCUUGGGGAAGGCAGGAAAGGGUUGUAGGAGAGAGGAUUUCGGUGAGUAAAGGGGUUGGGUCCCAGGUUAUUAAGGCUUUUUAAGCCAUCGCAUAGAAUGGGACCUUUUUUUUUUUUUUUAAUGUUUGUUUAUUUUUGAGAGAGAGAGAGAGACAGAGAAUGAGCAGGGGAGGGGCAGAGAGCGAUGGAGACACAGAAUCCAAAGCAGGCUCCAGGAUCUGAGCUGUCAGCACAGAGACCGAAGCAGGGCUUGGACCCACGAACCAUGAGAUUAUGACCUGAGCUGAAGUUGGACGCUUAACUGACUGAGCCACCCAGGUGCCUCUAGAAAGGGACGUUUUUAGUGCAACAGGAAAGUCAGUUUUGAGAAGAGAGUUGACAUUAUCCAUUUAGGUUUUAUAGCCCUGUAGGAGGUGAGAUGGAAGCAGAGUUUAAUUAGGAAGUUAUUAAAGAGACCAGGUGGUAAGAAGUGGCCAGAUUGGAAGAAAUAGCCCAUGGCAUGAGCUGUCAGGUUGGAUGUGAAGUUGUCAGAAAAGGGUCAGAGAUGGGCUCCCAGACAUUUAGCCUGAGUUUGGAAUAGUGGAGUUGCCAUUUCCAAAAACAAGGAAUGAUGCAAGAGGAGCAGGUCUGGGGAGACGAUCAAAAGUUGAGUUUUGGGAGCUUAUGUUUGAGAUAGUUGUUAAACAUCAAAGCAGAGAUGUUCAGUAGGAAACUCCAUGGGAAAGAGGUUUUUCCUGAAGUUAUACAUAUGGGCCAUAUCAGUAGAUUAUAUUCAUAACAUGUUUUAAAACUUGGUAUAGUUAUUUUGCCCAUUAUUACUCUUCUCAUAUAGAAUUUUCUUUGGUAUUUUCAUCUUUUUAAAUCCAAGUAAACGUCAGAGUUACUUUGUUAAAUUUAUUUUCUAAAGUACGUUGGAAAUUUUACUACUAGGUUAUGUGGUAAUUUGGGAAAGCUUGGCAUCUUUAAAAUAGAUCUUUGUAUUCAGCAACAUACUAGGUUUUCCUUUACUCCUUCUGAUAAGAGUUCAUUCUUCCCCCCACCCAAGUAGUUCUCACAUACUUCUUGAUAAUAUUCCCGAGAAUUGUAUAUUCAUUGCCAUUGUUAGGAAAUCCCCUUUCAUUGGUAUUCUGAUAGUUUUUUGCUCUUAUAAAGGUAUUAUAUUGAUAUAUUUGGCUAUUUCACUGAACUUCUGGUACUAUAAAUAAUACCCUACUUGAUUUCUCUGAUUUUUCUCCAGGUAGAAUCAUAUCAUCUGCAAAUAAUUUUGUCUGGUUCCUUUCAAUAUUUGUGUCGUUUAUAUUCAUGCCUGGAAGAGAACUCGUAAAUUUAAGAUAGGAGAUAACUGUGGAGGUAAUUAAUAUAUCUACAUCUAGUCACAGCUUACAAGUUUUGUUUUGUUUUCACCUUAGGAUUAUCCUAAUUAUUUAUUUGAUUUUUUUUGAUCUUUUAAAAAUUUAUUUCUUUUUAAAAAAAACUUUUUUUAACAUUUAUUUAUUUUUGAGACAGAGAGAGACAGAGCAUGAACGGGGGAGGGUCAGAGAGAGGGAGACACAGAAUCCGAAACAGGCUCCAGGCUCUGAGCUGUCAACACAGAGCCCGACGCGGGACUCGAACUCACGGACCGUGAGAUCAUGACCUGAGCCGAAGUCAGAUGCUUAACCGACCAAGCCACCCAGGCGCCCCUAAAAAUUUAUUUCUGAUAGAUUUUUGGAGUGAUUUGAGUUUAUCUGUUUUAGAUUUGUGCAUUACCUCUCAUAGUGGGUUUUGGUGUGAAAUAGUAUUUGGUUGUCAGCCAUUUUACUCCUUCAAGGACUUAUUCUCUAAUUCGUUGAGUACCACCCGUUCACGGAAAGCUCUUUUCCUGCUGAAUCAGCAUUUAACUUUUGUGGCUGCAGAAACAAACCUGUAGAGAGUACAUAAUGAAGAGAUUUCCAUCCCAUAACUUGGUAAGGCUCUAAUGGAAAAUUUAAAUUCAACAGCCAUCCCUCCAACCUGAAAUCCACAAAUAUAGUAAAAAUGAAUGUAUACAAGUUUUUAAAAAAUGAUUACAUGCACAUUUGUAAAACAACUGGUUUUGAAAACUUAUUUUCAAACUAAGGUAGUUUUACAGAUUUUAAAAGUCCUAUUUGUUUAAAAAAUCUAAAUACAAAACCAGUUUUACUUCUCACGUGGAUUGCAAAUCAGAAAAUGAUUUGCUGCCACAGCAUAGAUUUCUAGAAUGCUUUAUCUUGAAUUUUCAGGUUAAGUUUCAAGUGUUAUUUUCUAUUUGUCAAGUUAAGCCUCUUGUGACCUUUCUCCCUGAAUGAGCAGUGGACACUAUCUGAAAUGUUAGGACUUUGAAUCACCAGGAGUAGAUUCUCGGAAAAGCUUUUAAUUGGCCUGCAUCGCCUUGUUUAAAUAGCCAAACACCUGCUAGGCAAGCCCUUGCGCAUGUGAGUGGCUAUAUGUUGCUUCCUUUAGGAUUUGCAAGGCUGGAGCACAAAGACAGUGAUUGUUACCCAAUAAGCUGUAGUCACACACUUCUACCAAUCGCCUUAGGAGGGCUGGUUACCAUGGAAUCCACCAUCUGUUCACUCCCCGCUGGAAUGUGAUUAUCCUUGCUGGGCUGGGAACUGGGAAGCGUGUGCUGUGUGAAAUUAUCUGCAAUGGACUGGGUUAAUGGGAAGCUAGAUUUGGCUCGCUGGAAGAACAAAUGAAGGGAGUUUUACUUAAACCAUUUGUGACUUCUAAUCAAGAGGAAAAAAUUCAGCUUUUAUGAGUGAGGAUUUAAUGACGUGCUGCAUGGAAGGUGCUCAGCAGCCCCUGGCACAAAAGUAAAUGUUAAGUAUAAAAAAAAAAAAAAAAAAAAAAAAAAAAAAAAGAAAAGGUAUUUAUUUU